rfam:Salmo salar isolate Sally breed double haploid chromosome ssa09, whole genome shotgun sequence.
UGUAUUCACUACUGUAAGUCGCUCUGGAUAAGAGCGUCUGCUAAAUGACUGAAA